UGCACAUGAAGAAUGAAGCACACGGAAGCAGGAUCUAUAUUUCAAAGGUCGAUCACAUGGGUGGCUCGCCAGUCCGCGCGCCGCUGUAGCUCUCCAGGGAAGGCAAGCAGGGCGGACGAAUCCAGGAUCCAGCACAGCAGUUCAAA